ACCAAAGGCCCCAAAACCAAAACAAGAGAGAAAAAUGGCUUACACCUCUACACUGCCUGCGUGUACUCAUGGAAAACCCAAACUCGCCACACUUUUCAACUCAACAUCCAAAUUAUCCUUUCAAUUUCUUUCAAAAGCCUUCAGAAUCUUGGACUUCUUUCAAAAUCAUCAAGAAAAGUGGCUGUGGGCGUGUUCAAGUUACCGUUGAAGACUUUGUGGGUGAAGCAAACUUCUUAGGUGGUGUUGCUUGUGCUAAGCAUGGUUGAAGGAUUUGAUACCGAGGCUGCAAAGAAGAGGUUUUUAAAGAUAUAUCUUUUAAAGUAUGCAAAACCAAAUUCUGGCAUAGGUUUCCCUGGUGCCUUUGACCUUGUCUCUCAGUGUAAAAAGACUGGUCUCAAAGUUGCUGUUGCAUUUAGUGCUGACCGGAUUAAAGUUAAUGCAAACUUGGCUGCAGCAGGUUUACCAAUAACAAUGCUUGAUGCAAUUGUAACGGCUGAUGCUUUUAGAACUUUGAAGCCUGCUCCUGAUAUUUUCUUGGCUGAAUCACGGAUUCUUGAUGUUUCCCACUAGUGAGUGAUCAAUUUUUUCUUUGAUGAAGUGUUUCAUAAAUCACAAAGGCAUCAAGGAGAUGCAUAGUUACAAAAGAGGAGGAGAUGCCAGUUCAUACAAAAAUAACAAAAACAUAAGUCUAAAGAGCUGACAAAUCCAAAGGUUUAUCACAAGACUAAAGAGUUGAUAAAAUCCAAAUAAGAAUCUGGGUUAUAUGGAUAGCUGUGACAACAACACUAUCAGAAGAUACUUUAAAAGCAGCGGAGCCAUCCCUCAUCAGAAAGGAGAUAAGCGAUAUUUCACUUGAAGAUAUCCUCGAUGGUGACUCUGGUAGCCAUAGUAUGUAGUUAAAUUAACAUGUUAAGAGCUGCCCAUUUUCAUGUACCAUUGACAAAUGUAGAAUGCUGAAGCUCUUUUGUGUUAUUUAUGGAAAAACUUGCGAAUAAGCUCAUUUUUGUAAUGACUCUAUAAUUUGUUGAAGGAUAUCCUGUUCACUGCUCCCCUAA